CAUCCGAGUCGGGUGCAUAUUGCGAUGGGUCCUCCUAAUGGGCCUUGUUGAAUGGGUUGUAAAGGAGUGAGUAGGUGAGGCAUGUCGAACCCAAUGAGCAGUAGUGGCUUCGCUGAUAGGCUUAAUCCAUCUGCGGAGAAGGCAUUGGAAAUCAGGUAUUUUUCAGAAGGCCUUGAUAGCGAGGACACCUCAACUCAUUUCGUAGGGCUCUGGCAGUGCUCAUCCUGUUGCUCAAAGGAGCAGAUACCUGUCCUGCUGUUUCCUGGAAUCUCCUCCAUCUCCUUGAGACUGUGCUGAGAGACGCAGCACACCUUCUGACAAUGACUCCUGGCGUGGCUUCACCGGCGCACCGAACGUUCAGCAUGAAUGCGGUCGCUCUGGGUGUGGAUUACGCAAGCAGUGAUUCAGGCGGUGCCACAAGUUUCUGCUGUCACUCAUCUACUUUCAUUUGAUCGGGUGUUUUAUCGUCGUGUUCAUCUACUGGCAACUGAAUAUAUGUCAAUUUAAGAUUUUACGGCGGCACGGAGAUACUCAGAUAAAACACAAAUAAAUGGAAGAAUAUGGCUUAGCUGCCAAAUAUGG